UACGUAGGGGGCUAGCGUUGUCCGGAAUCAUUGGGCGGAAAGAGCGUGUAGGCGGUCCGGUAAGUCCGCUGUGAAAGUCGGGGGCUCAACCCUCGAAUGCCGGUGGAUACUGUCGGGCUAGAGUGCGGAAGAGGCGAGUGGAAUUCCUGGUGUAGCGGUGAAAUGCGCAGAUAUCAGGAGGAACACCGGUGGCGAAGGCGGGUCUCUGGGCAGUAACUGACGCUGAGAAGCGAAAGCGUGGGGAGCGAACAGG
rnacentral:rRNA from 1 species